UGUUUUCACACCUCCUAACCUCAUUAGCAUAAAUCGGAAGAAUUCGGAGAUAAACGUAAUAAAAUAUGAACAAAAUCCGUAAACGUCCGAACAGCUUUCCUCGCGAGAAUUCAGCGAGACCAACAUGCUACAGGUGAAAAUCGAGAGAGAAAUUCAACAUGAAAAAAGAGGUACAGCUGUAGAGUACAUUUUGAACAGCCAUCUCCAGGAUAUACUCUGAAGACAGUGAUGUGCUAGUUCAAGGUUUGCCUGUUUUCAGCUGUAACAAAACAAAUUGAUGAAAGCUUCAACCACGAGAAUCUAGGAAUGGAUGUCAAGUCCAAAGAGAAGGCCAUAUAACAAAUGGUUGCUGAAUUCAUGAAGACUAGCUGGGAUGAUACAGUACUUUUCUACUCAUAUGAACCAUAUCUAAACAUCAUUUGAGGAUCCCUUUCUCAGAAAAAAAGAAUUUGCAUACUCAAAGGCUCUAUAGUU